AAAUAUUCCCCUCAUUAGCUUUCAGUUUCAAAACCAUUUUUGGCUGAGAGUUGGGAGCUUCUCUCAUGAAAAUCAUCAUUUUCGUUUUCAGUUUCCAGUAUUGAGGGUGAUGAAAGUUUCAAUGAUCAUGUACUCCAGUAUUUAUCUAUAAAUAUCUGUGUUGCUUGUCUUUUCCAUUCUGAUACUGCACAACACUUCUAUUAAAGCUAACCCCU
rnacentral:lncRNA from 1 species